CAGAAAUGCCAGAGUCCCGUGCCUGGGAGGGUGGGGCUCCCCUGGCCUCCUGGAGCUUGCAGACAGCCCUGGCCACGCCUCCUCACAGCCUGGGCAGUUGCUGCAGAUGAGAGCGGCGAUGGGACCAGGGUCCAGAGCAAUGGAGGCUCCGUGCCUGGGAGCGGGUUCUGCCGGCUGCGGAAGGAUAGGGGUGGCACAGUCAGCCGCCUUGGGGACACAGGACAUAGGGGACCCACCACCGCCACUGCCGCUCCCGCAGCAGCUCGUGCCGCCACCACCCACGCCUCCUUGCUGCAGCCAGCGUGACGACAGCGGCUGCUCCGGACCACCCGCAAGCGGCCAUCACGGCAAGGGACUAACCGUCGUGUAACUACUGUCUGCCACAAAAAUCUCUAUUAUUAUCUUUAAAGGGAAACUUCUUCUUAAACUAAAAAUGCUUUUGUUCCUAAUAUAUUGGGACAUCGGGACAUUUCCUGGGUCUGUUGUUUCCUGGGUCUGUUUGGUAAACCUUGUUAACCUGUUCCCUUCACUAUAAACAUCCUGUGACUUAGAAUGCCUAGCCUCUUGGGAAGGCAUCCCAGCAGCUUCCUCAUUUUACCCAGCCCCUGUUCAAGAGGGAGUCUCUCUGGUUCCAACACCUCUGACAGUUUUGAAGAGAAAAAAAUAAUCCUCUUGAAUAAAUCUUCUGAUAAUUCUCACCUAAUGUGAUUGGAAUCUACUGGGCCUACUAGAUGGAGCUUGUUGAAAGAGAGGGGAGCUCUAUGAGCUCCCAAAAUACGUCAAAA
rnacentral:lncRNA from 1 species